AUACAGGGUGACAGCCCCGUACACAAAAAUGCACAUAUUGUGAGCUCGAUGAGUAGGGCGGGACACGUGGUAUCCUGUCUGAAUAUGGGGGGACCAUCCUCCAAGGCUAAAUACUCCUGACUGACCGAUAGUGAACCAGUACCGUGAGGGAAAGGCGAAAAGAACCCCGGCGAGGGGAGUGAAAAAGAACCUGAAACCGUGUACGUACAAGCAGUGGGAGCCUCUUAAUGGGGUGACUGCGUACCUUUUGUAUAAUGGGUCAGCGACUUAUAUUCUGUAGCAAGGUUAACCGAAUAGGGGAGCCGAAGGGAAACCGAGUCUUAACUGGGCGUUAAGUUGCAGGGUAUAGACCCGAAACCCGGUGAUCUAGCCAUGGGCAGGUUGAAGGUUGGGUAACACUAACUGGAGGACCGAACCGACUAAUGUUGAAAAAUUAGCGGAUGACUUGUGGCUGGGGGUGAAAGGCCAAUCAAACCGGGAGAUAGCUGGUUCUCCCCGAAAGCUAUUUAGGUAGCGCCUCGUGAAUUCAUCUCCGGGGGUAGAGCACUGUUUCGGCAAGGGGGUCAUCCCGACUUACCAACCCGAUGCAAACUGCGAAUACCGGAGAAUGUUAUCACGGGAGACACACGGCGGGUGCUAACGUCCGUCGUGAAGAGGGAAACAACCCAGACCGCCAGCUAAGGUCCCAAAGUCAUGGUUAAGUGGGAAACGAUGUGGGAAGGCCCAGACAGCCAGGAUGUUGGCUUAGAAGCAGCCAUCAUUUAAAGAAAGCGUAAUAGCUCACUGGUCGAGUCGGCCUGCGCGGAAGAUGUAACGGGGCUAAACCAUG
rnacentral:rRNA from 1 species